rnacentral:rRNA from 1 species
AUUGAACGCUGGCGGCAGGCCUAACACAUGCAAGUCGAACGAGUGGCGGACGGGUGAGUAAUGUCUGGGAAACUGCCUGAUGGAGGGGGAUAACUACUGGAAACGGUAGCUAAUACCGCAUACCAUCGGAUGUGCCCAGAGGGGCUUAACUAGUAGGUGGGGUAACGGCUCACCUAGGCGACGAUCCCUAGCUGGUAUGCGAGGAUGACCAGCCCGCCUGGAACUGAGACACGGUCCAGACGCCUCAGGGAGGCAGCAGUGGGGAUUAUUGCACAAAGGGCGCAAGCCUGAUGCAGCCAUGCCGCGUGUAUGAAGAAGGCCUUCGGGUUGUAAAGUACUUUCAGCGGGGAGGCGUUACCCGCAGAAGAAGCACCGGCUAACUCCGUGCCAGCGGCCGCGGUAAUAC